rnacentral:tRNA from 1 species
UUCCUGGUGGUCUAAUGGUUAAGCAUCUGCCUUGCGAUGCAGAGGACGCAGGUUCAACCCCUGGUCAGGGAA